rnacentral:rRNA from 1 species
GACGAACGCUGGCGGCGUGCCUAAUACAUGCAAGUAGAACGCUGAAGAGAGGAGCUUGCUCUUCUUGGAUGAGUUGCGAACGGGUGAGUAACGCGUAGGUAACCUGCCUGGUAGCGGGGGAUAACUAUUGGAAACGAUAGCUAAUACCGCAUAAAAUGGAUUAUCGCAUGAUAAUCCAUUGAAAGGUGCAAAUGCAUCACUACCAGAUGGACCUGCGUUGUAUUAGCUAGUUGGUGGGGUAACGGCUCACCAAGGCGACGAUACAUAGCCGACCUGAGAGGGUGAUCGGCCACACUGGGACUGAGACACGGCCCAGACUCCUACGGGAGGCAGCAGUAGGGAAUCUUCGGCAAUGGACGGAAGUCUGACCGAGCAACGCCGCGUGAGUGAAGAAGGUUUUCGGAUCGUAAAGCUCUGUUGUAAGAGAAGAACGAGUGUGAGAGUGGAAAGUUCACACUGUGACGGUAUCUUACCA